rnacentral:lncRNA from 1 species
UUUUGGGCAAAAACGGUAAAAAAUCCCAUCGCCAGGAACCCCGGCGGGCGGCAGCGGGGAGGGGGAUCGGCCACCCCGGUUGGGGAGGGUCGGACACCCCGCGGGGGGGGGUCGGACACCCCGGUGACGGUCCCGGUGCUCCCACGGUGCCAUCUCAGCGUCGAGACCGGAGCCCGGUGCCACCUGCGGGAACGGAGGGAGGGGUCACCCCUGGAGGAUCAGCCCUGGGGGGGUCCAGGGUCACCUCCGGGGGGUCCCGGGGCAGGGGAGUCUCUGUGGAGUCGGGAUGGGCACGUGGUGACACUGGUGGGACCGGGACAGGACCGGGACACGGCACGGGGGACACGGCUCCGGUGGCUCUCUCCAAUCCCAGCACGGCCAGACCCGUCCCCGGUCUGGGGUGUGAAAUGUGUCCCCGGCCGUGCCACGUCCCCAGCGUCCCCUCGGUGUCCCCAGGGCGGGACGGGCACUCCGGGACCCCCUGGAUGUGCGGAAUGUGCCGGGAGCCGCGGCCCCCGGUGCCAUCGUGUCACCGGCUCCCCGUCAGCCCGUGCUGGGACCCCCGUGGCCCCCAGGCCGUGGCCGUGGGUGCCACUGUCCCGGCCCCGGUGUCCCCAGCACCGGUGGCCGCGGUGGCUCUGGGGCUGGUGGCCGCGGUGGCCCCGGCACUGGUGUCCCCGGUGUCCCCGGGCCGGGGCUCUGCAGGCGCCAUGUGGGACCCACGAGGCCCCGCCCGGUCGUGACAUCAGCGUCGUCACGACAACGGGGCGACUUCAAAGGGAAUCGGGUGGAACCGGCCCAAAAAAUGGGGGUAAACAGCGGCGGCGGCACCGACACGGGCCCGGGGGGCCCGGGGGGCUCGGGGAGGGCUCGAGGGGUGCCCCGAUCCCCGGUCCCUGCUGCGGGGGUCGCGACAGUCGCGACGGUGACGGCCCCUCGCUGCCAGCGGGGCCCAGCUGUCCCCGGUGCCAGCGGUGGCGACACCGACACGAGGCCGGGAGGGGUCCGGAAGGGCUCGGGGGUCCUGGGGGGUCCUGGGGGGUCCGGGAGUGNGGGAGCUGA